rnacentral:tRNA from 1 species
GCCCGGGUGGCGGAAUUGGUAGACGCGCUAGGUUCAGGGUCUAGUGUCCUUUAGGAUGUGCUGGUUCGACUCCAGUCCCGGGCA